AUUGAACGCUGGCGGCAGGCUUAACACAUGCAAGUCGAACGAGUGGCGGACGGGUGAGUAAUGCUUGGGAAUCUAGCUUAUGGAGGGGGAUAACUAUGGGAAACUGUAGCUAAUAACGCGUACUAUAGGAUGAGCCCAAGUGGGAAUAGGUAGGUGGGGGGGUAAUGGCUCACCAAGCCGACGAUCUCUAGCUGGGCUGAGAGGACGACCAGCCACACGUGGACUGAGACACGGCCCAGACUCCUACGGGAGGCAGCAGUGGGGAAUAUUGCGCAAUGGGGGCAACCUGACGCAGCCAUGCCGCGUGAAUGAAGAAGGCCUUCGGGUUGUAAAGUUCUUUCGGUAGCGAGGCGUUAACUACAGAAGAAGCACCGGCUAACUCCGUGCCAGCAGCCGCGGUAAUAC
rnacentral:rRNA from 1 species